rnacentral:tmRNA from 1 species
GGGGCUGAUGUGGCUUCGACAGGAGUAGUUUUAGCUUAUGGCUGCAUGUCGCGAGUGAGGGUCUUGCGUUAGACAACCUUCAAAUCAUAACUGCUAACAACAGUAACUAUCGUCCUGCUUACGCUGCUGCGUAAGUUUUAACUAACAAGGACUGCUUCCACUUCCGAUUCUAUCCAAGGAAGACUUUGGAAGUAUCAUAGGCAUGAUAGAUAUACCCAAAGAGUGUUUUGGCUUUGGAUGAAAGUUAAAAACUCGUUUUGCGUAGUUUUGUAAGUUGUAUGAAGCAAAAUUAAAAAACAAACAAUUUUUCUAAGCAUGUAGAUGUCAUAGGUGGCUAUUUUUGGACUCCGGUUCAAUUCCGGACAGCUCCACCA